rnacentral:lncRNA from 1 species
AAAACAACAUGUCAUAUCCAAUGCGUUAGGACACAACGUAUCGAAUUCCCGAGAAUGAGCUUUUUAUUUAUGUUUUAAAAAGGAUACUCGAUUUCUUAGAUACAGCGAGGAAGAUUGGAAUCCAGUAAGUUAGGACACAAUCUUUUCGAGGAUCUCAAAUUUCGAGUGCCGCGUUAUUUUGAAAGCUUUUUGAAUAAAAAUGCUUUUGAUGUUUAAAUGAUAUGAAACAUAACCUUUUAAGCGAAUAAAAUGCGAUAGAAUGAUAAUGUACAACGUGAAUUGGUUAUUCAUAAAUUCAAAUAUACAUUAAUGAAUACAAACAAUCAAUUAAUACAAUCAAGGAAUACCGUCCGCAUGAGAGUAGUGAUUACGUGUAAAUAUUAACAUUUAAAAGCUAAUGAAUUAAAAAUCAAUAAUGUACAUGUAUAUAUAUACAUAUAUAUAUAUAUAUAUAUAUGAAAGUAUACAUAUAAAGAAAAAUAAAUACACAUAUAUAAAAGUUUGAAAUAAAUCAAAAAUAGAGUUAGAAAAAUUACAUAAAAUAAUAGUAUCCCAAUAAAUUUUUAAAACAAAUAUCAUGUAAGAAGAAAAUCAAAUACAUAAAAUAAUAUACAUAUAUUAAUUUAAAUAAAUAAUACACAUGGAGUGAAAAACUUGAUAUAAAUAAUAUAUAUAUAUAUAUAUAUAUAAAAGUUGAAAUAAGCGAAAUAAAUUAAAAUAGGGUCCUUUAAAAAAUUUUUAUAUGUGUGUAUAGAUAAAUAAAAAGAUAUAGUAUGAAAUCAAUAACAUAUUCUAUAUGAGUAUAUGUUUAAUAAAAUGAUUUAAUAUAAAUUGUAUAUAGGUAUAAAGUAGUAUUGUAUAAAAAUGUUAAAAACUUAAAAUAAUAUUACAUGAUAACAUAAAAUAAUGUAUAUACGUAAGAAAAAUGGUAAUUAAAUAUAUAAACUAGUGUAAUAACAAUAUCAAUAAUAAUAUUAGUAAUAAUAACAUUGAUAAUAAUAAUAAAUUAAUUAAUAAUCUAAUUAAUAAAGAAGCAAAUAAUCAAAAAAGGAUGAAAUUAAAUUAAAAACAGAUUUGAAGAAAAGAAAAAAAUGAAAAUAAAGUAAAGAGGCCAAAUGUAAUGCGCGAAUAAAUUGGGGGACCAAGUGGGAAAUAAUCCUCGUCUCUCCAAAACGCGGCGUUUUGAUAUGGAUCAAAUUGGAAUAAAACCUGGAAUGCGCGGCCAAAUCUAAAUAAAAUAAACGGAUGAAUUUGAAAUAGUUAUAAAAAGAAAGGGGUCCGUUUGUGCAAAUUUUCCCUUGCACUAUAAAAUGUGUGGAUCCUUCCCCGGGUCAGGUCACCGCGUGGGUCAAGAGCCACUUAACGGCAUCGUUUUGGCGCUACGGCUUUAACGCAAAACGGCACCGAAUUACACUAUUAUUUAAAAAACAAUUAGAUAAAACAAAUCAGUUGUUGCCUAUGUUUUAAAAAAACUGUGCUUGCUCUCUGCUAGGGUUUCAACCUAGUUUCUGCCACCGUUCACAAGCCGAAGUGAAAGCCCUCUCAACUCCGAUUUUGAUGGUGUAGACGGAGGCCGACGACCAACUAGCUGAGGUAAAUCCCCUUCUUAUUUGCUUUUCCCUUUUUUAAAACAGUAACCAAAACGUAGAAAAAAAAAGAAUUGGAAAAGAAAUAGUCAAAAGAAAACCCCUUUUCCCUCUGGCGCCGUAACCCCGAAGACCUCUCCGACUCCGAUUUCAAAUGGAAUGAACGGAGCCCUGACGGUGCGCUUACGAUGGUAAGAACCUCUUUUCUUUUUUUCUUUUUCUAUUUACCCACGAUUUACCGAAAUCGAAACCUCAAACUCCCGACAGAAAACGAAAAAGAAAAUGAAAGAACAGUCACCUUUUGAACAAUUUUUGCUUUUGAUUUUCUUUUCUUAAUUUUUUUGUAUUGAUCGUGCCUCCAAAAUACAAGGUUCGAAUCUUGGCUUAUAUAGCCGAAGAUACAGAAUAAAAAUAAGAAGAAAAAAUACAUAGUCCUUUUUUAUGUUAUUUCGUUUCUUUCUUUUUUGUUGUUUCUUUGUCUGUGUGCUACAGGUACGGAGGCCAGCUGGAGUGUACGAAGGCAAAGGCUGGGUCUUGGUUGCUGCGGCGCUGGGAUCUCCUAGGGUUUUCUGUUUGUGAUUUUUUUUGUUUUGGGCUUUAAUGUAAUUGGGCCGAGGUAUUUGGGCCAUUGUAAUUGGGUUGUUUUUGGACUGUUAUUUUAUUUGGUUUUUAUUUUUAUUUUGAUUUGAUUUUUAUUUAUUAUGGGCCGGGAAAAUAUUGGACCUUACACCCACAUCACACUUGCACACACUAUGUUCAAAAGAAGUUGCCCAAACAAAAGUCUAUCACUUAUUCCGGAGGUUCGAAAUACAUAUCCACUUCUUAUUGGCUUAUUAUUCACCUUUUUAGGUGUGUUUGAUAAACCAUUAAAACAUAUAAAAUGAAAAUUUUCAAUCAUUUAAUUUUCUAAAUGUGUUUGAUAAUCAUAUUAAUUGUUCACUUCAUAUAAAAUUUUCAACAAAAAUUGUUGAAUAUGAUAAGUAAAUAUCUAGUUACUUAUCACUUAAUGUGGAAAAUAUUAAAUUGAUUGUAUUUUUCAAAGUUUUAUUUUUGAAAUAACAUAUUUCCUUAUUUCAUUAAAAAAUAAAAUAUUCAAAUUUUAUGUUUUAAUUUUUAACCAAAACUAUUCAAAAUAAAAUAAAUGAUACAUUAUUAUUUUUUGAACUAAUAAUCAGACUGGGCUUCAUUUAAUAUAUAAAACAAAAUUAAAUAACAAACAGUCCAAAAAGAAAUAAAACAUAAUCGGAAAAAUUGGCCCAAAACUUAAAAUGGCCCAUGGAGAAAACACCCUAAACAUAAUUCAGAAUAAUCUAGAAUAACACAAAUAUCACCAAAAAUUUGCCCAAUCAAAAAUCACUAAUGCCUGUCCUGUCUAUCAGCCAUCAUUUCUCUCUUUAUGACGGUUUCAGUUCUCAGGAAAGCUUUAUCACCAAAAAACUUAUUCAUCUACUUUGAGGCUUUCCUUCCUUAUUUCUUCUCCGACCAUUCUCAAUUCAGUUCUAGCACCUUAUCGGUUUCCUUUUGGUUUUUGGCAUAUUUAGGGACGCUUUUAACCAGGUACACCUCCUCUUUUUUUUUUCAACGAUUCUGUUCCUAGUAUAUGUGCUAAAACGUUUGCUGAUCUCGAAGUAUAUAUGAACACAAUUUCUAGAUCUAGCUAUUAUCUGUUGACUAUAAUGUAUGUAUACUCCUACCUGCGAUUUAUCUUGACUUUUUGUCUUGUAUUUUUUGAUUAUUGAUAAUGAGUCACCUUCGAUAAUGAUCUCCGACCACUGCAAUUCGAUUCCUAUUUAGACUACUUCAUGACAUGCAAGCGCUUCAGCAGCGAAGGCAGAGGCCACCUCUUGAUGAAUUUCUAAACAAGAUAAGAGGACGGUCCCUUCAUUGUUUCUAGCCACAAUCCCCGAAGCCGAUUGGAAAUGACGCCCAUCGUAUGCUCCGUCAAACUUGAUUUUUACGGACUUACCAGGUGGGUAAGUCCAUUUUCUAAACCCCUUUAAAAUUAUGGAAAUUCUUCUUUCAACACCAUUUAAUUCGAUACUAUAAUUAUUAACGAAGCUCGCUAUUUCCUGACCAGUGCUACUUUUCUUAUCUUGCAAUCUAGCAUUCUUUUCUCCCCAAAUGGUCCAUAGCACACAGCAGAAAAGUCGGUAUUGAAAAAGGGGAUAUUGAACAAAAACCUAGGUAAACCACUGUAAAAAAAUCCAUAAUAGAAUCCAUUACAAUAUUCGGGAUUGGUAAUGUUUUCCAGACUUCCUCUGAAAUAAGGCAUUCGUGGAAAAGGUGAUCAAUUGUUUCUGCUAUUUCUCCAUAUCGGGGGCAAGUUGUAAUGUUAACUAGCUUCCUGUGCUGCAUGUUAACCCGUGUAGGCAAAUAAUUCUAUGAUAUUUUCUAGAUUGUAAUCUUUAUUUUAGUAGGGAGAUUUUGGAGCCAAAGUUUUUUGUAAAAAUUCCUGUAGUCGGUUUGUAAAGCAUAAGCUCUAGGGUUUUCACCAGAAUUUUGUAAUAGUUUAUAGGCGCUACGAACUGAGUAAUCACCCGAAGAUUCACUGCUCCAUACAAGAAAGUCAUCAUGGGGUUCUUUCGCCAAUGGGAUAGGGAGGAUUUUUCAGCAUCUUACUCUGAAAAGGUGUUGACAAUCAACUCUCGUUUCUAUAUUCUUUCAUUACUAUCAAUUAACUCAGCAACUUUAAAAUCUCAUAUAUUAUGAACAAACAAAGGUCAUCUGAGAUUUUCUGCGUCUAGAAUCCAAGCAUCAUUAUUAACUGAAACAUUCAUACUCGUACCCACCUUUCAACAAAGCCCUUUUGCCAAAAUACACUUUGUCGCUCAGAUACUUCUCCAUAUAUAAGAACUUGUAUUUCCUAAUCGUGAAUUUAAAAAAUCAUCAUUUGGAAAAUAAUUUUCUUUGAGCACUCGCACAACUAGUGAGUUUGGGUUAUUUAAAAUCCUCCACCCUUGCUUCGCUAGUAAUGAAAUAUUAAACUGAGCCAUACUUCUGAAACCCAUUCCCCUCUCUUCUUUUGAACGACACAUAUGCUUCCAUUGACACCAAUGUAUUCCUUUUUUCCCAUGACCUUUUUGCCACCAAAACUUAGCGAAAAUGUUUUCUAAUUCCCCACAUAAAGAUUUCAAUAGAAGAAAGCAUGACAUAGUAUAAGUUGGUAUUUCUUGGAGUACUGAUUUUAUGAAGACCUCAUUACCUCAUUGUGAUAGUAGCCUUGUACUCCAUCCUUGAAUUCGCAAGUAAACCCUAUCUUUGAGAUUUUGAAAGGACUAUUUCUUUCGUCUUCCGACCACAUUAGGGAGUCCUAAGUAUUUUUCAAGAUUUCUUGAGCUUCUCACACCUAAUAAUGUCAAGAUUUCUUCUUUUUUCCCUUCUAUUGUGUUCGAACUAUAGAAGAUCAUUGAUUUAUUAAAAUUCACACAUUUGCCUGAGCAUCAUUCGUAUUCCUUCAUAAUUUCUUUCAAUAUCAACGCUCCUUUAUCUGUUGCUUCACCGAACAGAAUACAAUCAUCUGCGAAAAGAAAGUGUGAUAUCUCUGGUCCCCUUCUGUUAGCUUUUGCUCCUUUUAACAAGCCAUCUCUCAUUGCCAAUCUCAUCAAAGAUGAAAGUCCCUCACUACAUAUCAGAAAAAGGAAAGGACUAAGUGAAUUGCCUUGUCGGAGCCCUCUAGUAGAUUUAAAAAUGUUUUCCCUUCUCCCAUUAAUGUUUAUUGCAUAAGAAACUGUGGAGAUACGUGUCAUUAUUAGUGCCACCCAUUCCCCUGCAAAGCCCAUCUGUAGCAUUACUUCUUUUAGAAAACCCCAUUCAACUCUAUAGUAAGUUUUGCUCAUAUCUAACUUCACUGUCAUAUAUCCUUUUCUCCGGUACGCUUCUGAUGAAAAGUGUGUAGAAUUUCAUAGGCUAAAAGCACAUUGUCAGAAAUUAAUCUUCUGGGGACAAAAACACUUUGGGUAGUGUCAAUACAUCUUCUAAUGACUUCUUGAAGGUGAUUUGCUAUUAUUUUUGCCACAAUUUUGCAAAUAAUUGUGCACAAACUAAUAGGUCUAAAAUUAACAAGACUUGUGGGAUUUAGGAUUUUUGGGAUAAACACAAUAUCCGUCAAAUUAAGAGAGUCAAAAUCCUUGUCAUCGUUCAAAAUUCCCAAACAGAAAGUUUCGACAUCUUUACCUACAAUGUGCUAGAAUUUCUGAAAAAAUAAUGUCGGCAAACUGUUAGAGCUUGGUGCUUUAGUAGGCCCUAUUCCAUUCAAAGCCGAAUGAACCUCUUCUACCUUACAAGCUGAUAAUAGAGCUGUAUUGAUAUCGAAGGAAAUAUUGAUGUCAAUGCUCGUUAGUAGGUGGGAUAAAUCCCCAAUUCCAUUAGACGAAAAUAAUUUCUAAAAAAUUAAAGUAGCAGCCUCAUUGAUCUUUGUUUCGUCAGAAAUUUCUCCUCAUUCGUUUGAUUCCAACCUAGUUACUGUGUUUAUCCGUCUACAAACUAGGGCAUACUUAUGAAAAAAGGUAGAAUUCUUAUCCCCUAAUUGAAGCCAAUUGCCCCGUGCCUUUUGUUCCCAAUACAUUUCAUCUUUAUCAAUCUCCAUAUUAAGUUGAAUUUUGGUAUCAAUAAGCUUUGCCGUCGCAUUUUCAUCCCUCUCUUUCACCAUUAGAUUUUCAAGUUCCUUUGUGAGCUUUCUUUUUAAUCCUUCUCGACAUUUUUUAAUUGUGCUUGCCCAUCUCUUCAAUUUGAGCUGCAACCUUUCAAUUUUUUUAAUUAGCGUGCCUAUUGAUGACUCCUAAGAUUUCUUGAUUUCUUAUUCGAUAGACUCCUCCAUGGUCCACCAUGCCUCAAAUUUAAACCUUGGGAUCCCUAUACAAAUAUUUCCAUUAUUUGUAUUAAGAAAGAGUGGACAAUGGUCCGAAAUCGAAUGAGUUAAGUGUUGAAUGUUGCCCUUUGGAAAAAGAUGCAACCAUUUUUCAUUCGCAACUCCCCUAUCAAGUCUUUCCUUAAUGUUUAUUUUCGAUAGAUUCCACCUUUCCUAUGUAAACCAAACCCUCGAAUACCCUAUAUCCAUCAAUUGGUAUUCUUCUAAAGGCUCAUAGAAGGCCUCCAUUCUUCUCUCCUCCCUCAGUAUGCCUCUACUUUUUUCAAAGGAAUACAUGAUUUCAUUAAAAUCACCACUUACCAACCAAGGAUGAUUUUGUUCAUGACCCAAUUUCCUUAACAGAUUCCACAAAACAUUCUUGUUAUUUACAUAAGAUGAACCAUAAAACCUUAUAAAUCUCCAUUCUUCAUUGACAUUUUCCUCCUUAAUCAUCACAUCAAUAUGGCUUUUUGAGAAACUUCUUAAACUAAUUGUAAUAUCCCCUUUCCAUGCCAAACAUAGCCCACCUCGAGAACCUUUUACUUCUACGUUAAUCCCAUUCAUAAAACCACAUCUCCUUCGAACCUUUUCCAUACGUUUCUCAUCAAUUAUUUUCUCCAUUAAGAAGACCAUUUGGAGGUUGUACAAAUUUAGCAAAUGCCGCAGCCUCCAUACUGCCCUUGGACUCCUCAAUCCACGGACAUUCUAACUUAUAGUUUUCAUUGCGCCCGGUCGGCUUACCUUUUGGCACCCACCGAUCCAUAAAAGUGGGGAUCACAAAUUUGUUUCGAGUUUCCUACCGACACAACUAGAGAAGCUUCAAUUUGUAUGUCUUUUCUUUCAUGUUUCAUUCUUUUUGGUCCGUCUUCGUAAGGAUUUCCUGUACAACAUUCUUCAGUUUCUAAUUCUGCAGAUUUCCUCUUCCUCAUUAUGAUGUCUUCAUUACUUUGAUUCAUCAAGACCACUGGAAAUGUCUUUUCCAGCUUGUCUUCUUAACUAGAUUUGAUUUAUCUUCCAACAUACUAUUUCUUUCAUUCAACCUUUCAAUUUUCUUUAUUGCAGACCCUUCCUCCUGCUUCUUCUCCACUUUCUCUAAUCCUGUUGGUUGUAUUUUAUCUUGUAAACUCCAAACCAUAGCAUUCUCAUCUUCUGGUUGUUUAAUAAACUCAGGUAGCAUCUACGUGACCCCUAUAUAAGAACAUUGAGGUAUCAUCUAUUUUUAGAGUGCAUUAAAUUUCACAUUCUCCUUCCCAAUUAAAUUUAGCUCACCUUUUAAUGCUAAAGAGUAUGGUGGAUCGUCUCUAUUUUUUUUUCUGCAGGAGUUAGCCCAAGGCAGUCUUUGAAACCAUGCCCCAUUCUUCCACAUCCAAAGUAGAAAAUCGGUAACUUCUCAUAUUUAAAGGAGACCCACGAUUUCUAUUAAUUAUCGAUUGAGACGAAAAUACCUCUAAGGAGGGGUUUCUGCAAAUCCAAUUUGAUUCUAAGGCGACACAAAUCUCCAUUGAUUUCAGAUUUAAUUACUCCUCCAAAAGUAACCCCAAUGGCAUGAAAUAGAUCUUUUUUAUCGAAUUCUGAUAAACACGAUCCGAUCUUAAUCCAAAACAGGGAAGAAUGAAGUCAAAUCUGACUUUUUUCAAUCGGUUUAACCAACUGAUCAAACAGUACAAGCUUUUUCCAAAACAACCAUGGUCAUCCUUCCAUAACUGUCUCUAGAUCUUCUUCAGUAUGAAACACAAUUAGAAAAAGAUUUUGCCCUGCCAACUGAAUCUCAAAUUUUUUCCUCGUCUUUCAGAUGCUUUUCAUCUGUGCCCUAAAACUAUUCGGAUUUUAGGAUUUUUCUGCCCAUAUUGUGCAAAGCAGAGUUGGUUUCACGUUUGGUACCACCAUCGAACACUUAACAUAUAAUUGGAUGAGUUUUUCUUCCAGAAGGGAGAUCUCAUCGCCUCUCACCCUAUCGUCGCCACCACUUUCCUCCAUCCCAAGCGGCAGUAGUUACUACUUUCACUAGGAUUCUAAGCAAAGCACUCUUGGCUCUUUUUCCUUAAUUAUUCGUAAGGUUUAAAUGUAAGUUUAAAUUAGACAUUAUUAGUAAGAUUAAAAUUAUAAAAUAAUGAUUUUUCAAAAGUAACGAUAUACUAUUAUCAAGCAAAAAUAAUUACAUUUAGUGUUUAACUUUUAAUAAUAUAUCAAAUAAUUUUAUAAUAUAAAUUCAAUGAUUAUAAAAUUUAAUAUUAAAAAUUUAGUACUUAAUUUUCAACUCUUACACGUUUACUUUUAUUUUAUUUGGAAAUGCUAAAAUGAAAAAAAAAACAAAACAAAGAAAAUAUGCAUGAGAAAAUUAAAGAUAUAAAAUAGUUAAAAGUAAAAAAAGAAAAAAGAAGGUAAAGUCCCAAGUUUGAGAUUUUCUAAUUAAUCCAAUUUUUUUUUCUCAAAGAAAAUCUUUAACUUUGUUCAUUGUACUAAAAUGGCAACAAUAUGAAUAGAAUUAAGGUGAUAAAUAUAAAGUUAUGUUUGACAUUAGAUUUUGAUAAAGAAAAUUAUAAUUUAAAGAUGAGAUUUUCUUUUAUUGUAAUGAUUCAUUUGUUUGUGACAUUAAUAAUUGAUGGGUUGAAUAUAUAGUGGAAGUAGUGAUGGUGGUAGUAAAAAAAGGAAACUAUAUAAGAAAGUGUUAUAACAUUGGAAUCCAUAUAUAAGAACCUCAAAGCUUUGGCUAUUUGCAUCACCAUCCACUUCUUUAUAAUAAUUUAACUGCACCCACGAUUAUAUAUGACGAAAGCCCAUUGAUUUCUACUCUUCUUCUACUGAGGCUGGCUGGGUUUGGAUUUUGGCUUAAUUCCUAUCGAAAUUACUCAUUCAUCUACUUUCUUCAAAGUUCAAGCAGCAAUCACAAGCUUCGCUUUAGAAGUCUUGGAGGAGGUGGUGGUUGAAGAGGAAUGGGCAUGGCGGUCUUCUUUCUUUGAAGUAUUAAUGUUUAUGUAAAAAUAGAACGUUAGUAAUGAUAAUAUAUCGAAAAAAAUAAUAAAUAAAUAACAUACAGAUUUUUAUGUAUAAACCGUUUCGAGAAAAAACCAUGGGCAAAGGAGAAGAAAAUUCAUUAUGUCAAAUUCAAAUAAUUACAAGAGAAUUUUGAUAUAGGUAGAAAAAAAACCUAAUUUUAAUAAAAGUCAAAUAUAUUAUGUUAAUAAAUGCUAAAUAUGUUAUACUCAUAAAAACUAAAUCUUCUUUCUAGAAGAUAUAUUUUGUUUAACUUAACUUACAAAUAAUCUCUUAGAAUUUGGUUCAAACAACUCUAGCCGUUUAACUUUUCUUUUCUUUCAUCUUGCUUCAUCUGUUUUUCUCUACACUCUUGACUACAAAACGCUGUAUCCCCCCUGCAAUAAUGUUAUUCUUUUUCAUUAUUUGACAAAUAAUUCAACCCAAAUAUUGGCUUUAAUUCUCUGUUAAUAAUUAUAAUUCUACAUAUAACUUCUAGAUACCAUAUAUUAAUAUAAAUUUAAAAAAAAAAGGUAAGAAGCAAAGACGGAGUUCUAAGGGAGGUUUAAAUGUUGUUUGGAUGGAAAGAAAGAGAAAUAUAAAUUUUUUCCCUUUCUUUUCUUGUUCAUACAACUUUAGAUUCAAUCUUAAUAUAUAUGAUCUGAAUUUUCAAUAAAAUUUAAAAGAAAAUAAAUGAAACUGGAUGAAAAGGAGAAGAAUACCUAUACAUAUAUAUGUCACGACCAGGAGCUAAGCGGCGAUUACAAAGCCAACAAGCUCGCAAAAAAGGAGCAGCGGCAGUGGUGCCGCUGUCGAUGACAUGGCUAGUAAAAGAAGCUGGGUUUCUGGGCGACACCAUGGCCAAGAAGCGUUGAUCGUAACGGGAGUUAGCGUCGGGGGAUUCAUGCAAAGGGUGGAUUUGAGGGGGAGGAUGGGAUAUGAUUGGGUCUUGGUGGUGGUCGACGACAUCGACGGUGAUGCCCGUCAUGCUUGUCGUCCUCUUGAUCGGCUGACGUGAGCGUUUUCCGAGCAUCAUCCUGCUAUAUAUAUGUAUGCGUAUUGGCUUAAUUUCUCUCUUGUUUUUGCUCUAGUGAAUAGCAAAGAGAGUGGGAAUGGAAGGAAAAGCGAGGUGGGGGAGAUAAAUUAAGGGUGAGAGGAUUGAAAUGUAAAACAUGGUUGAUUAUGCAUAUUUUAACCUUUAGGGAAGAAUCGAGGGAAUCUUUGGCACCCUCAGCUGGAAGUUUUUAAAUACGAAAGAGAUUCUUUUGGAGUUUUGGGAAGGUUAGUUAUUUAAUUAAAUAAAAGUCCAUUAUUGCUAUGUGUCGGGUUGCUGGCAUUGCUUUUACAAGCCUUGACAUUUUGUUGCUAAUGUCCCAUCUUUCUUUUCUCACCUUUGGAACACCCCUACUCCUUUUUCAUCUCUCUACCAAUCUUAGGAAUUCCAAUUUCAUAAUAACACUUUUAAAAGCUUUAAUUUAAGUUUUAAAUGUUUGAUGUUGGUGUUAAAAAUGUUUUUGAGAAAUAAAAUAUGUUGUGAGUGAAAAUAUAUAUAUUUAAAUGGCAUUUAAAUUUGUUAAUAUUGUGACAUUUCAAUAAAAGAUAAUUUUGUUGAUACAUAGUAUCAAUGGAGGUAAAUGAGGAGGAGAUGGGCAGUAUCGAAGAAGAUCAGUUCAACCACUCUAGGGUUGAAAGCCAAAAAAAAUAAAGACUCUUUUUUUCUCUCUAGACCCUGAUACGUUAAGCAUUCAUCCUAAGUUUAUUUACUUUUUUGGCUUUCAACCCUAGAGUGGGUGAACCGGCCUUCCUCGACACCGCCCCCUUUCCUCCUCCUUUGUCUCUGUUGAUCCUGUGUAUCAACAAAUUUAUUGUAACCUACUAUUAGUAUUUUGAUAUAUGAAAUAUGAAAUUUAAAUAUUAAAAAAAAACAAUUAUUUGUAAAACUUAAUUUGAGUAUAUAAAUUAUAUUUUAAAUAUAUAACAUUGGUUUCUAAAAUAUACAAUUUGAUUAACAAUGGAUUAUAAUUAGUUAAAUAUCUUAAAUAUAAUUCAUUCAACUCAAUGAACUUUUGUUUCUUAGUAUUAGGGGAUCUUUAAUUUCGCACUUUUUCUUUAGAAUUUUGAGGUACACCCACUACAGUCUAUAAUAUAUAACUUAGCCUUAAAUCAUGGUCCAAAUGCUACAAUGUUGACAACUUGGGAAAUCACUACAAAAUUCCUAGGCUUUUAAUAUCAAAUCUAACGUAAUUUGGAGUUUAAUUAAUCUCAAAUUUCAUUGAAAUUAAAUUUAGGUUUGGUUUUAGUUGUCACGAUAAUUUGAGUUUCCUUAAUUUAAUUUUCCUCAAAUUGAGCUUAAUAAAUGUUGCAGCUAUAUAGAUCUAAUUCGAUUGAAAAGAAUGAACAAAAGUGAUUUAAUUUAUAAUUUAUAAUAUAAACGUUAGGUUAGGGAAACUUUUAAACAAAUUAAUCGUUUGUUGUUCAUUGUAUUAUUGAUUUUUCCAUUUUAAAAUUUUCUUUGCUAUUCAUAAGAUUUAUAACAUUUAUAAAUAAAAUUUUUAUUUUAUUUAAAUAUUUUGUUAAAUAAAUUUAUUUAAAAGGAAGGUUUGACACUUAUAGAGGAAAAACGUUAAAAUUUAUAUUAAUUUAUUUUUUAUUUUUUCAUAAGCAAGAAAUAUAAAAGAAAAUUAUAUAAUUACUUUAUUUUUAAAUAUUAAAAUUUAAUUAUGUAUAUCAUAACUAACUCUUAACUUCUUAUUUAUUAAAGAUUCCCUUUUUUUAAUUAAAUUUAUGUGAAUGUUUUUAAAUGCUAAAUAUUUUUUUUUUAAAUUCUCCUUUUUUCUCUAAGUCUGAUUAUUUUUUCUAUUUUGUUUUGCUUAACCGCGAUGUUAACUUUUGGGCCGGCUACUAUCCACCUUUUUUCUCUCCCUCUCAUCAAUUUUCUCGUUUUUUUUUCUUAUUCUCAUUCACUCUAUGUGUUUUCUCUCUUUUAGUUUGCAGAUCUAUUUUGUGGAUGUCUCUGCUGUCUUCACAAGUUGUGAUAGACAAAUGACAUUGCCUAUCGUCACUGAAACUCCACCAGCCAUCAACAGUUUCUCUUGGAAAGUGGGUGGCUUUUUAUCAGCUUCUUAAUUUGUUUCUAUUUUGAAAGUAUUUCAGAAUAAUAAAUGAUUUCACGAGUCGAUUUGGACCCGUCUUAAGUUUUAUAUGUUCUUUUGUUUAUUUUUAUUAUUUAGUAAGUUUUCACUUUUAGAGAUUUUUGUUUACUUUUGUAGCACGUUUUUAGUCUUAUUUUAUGCAUGUAAUCUUGCUUUUACAAGUGAUUUUAAGGAUGGUUUUGUCGUCGUCCUCUCCAAUUUAAUUGAUGCUCGAUUUUUACCCGUCGCUUUGGACCGUUCAAAGUUGAUUCCUUAUCCUAUUAAGUGUUUGCAAUCACUCUAGAUAUAUCAUCCUUGAGUUGUGGCAGAGUCAAUUGCCAAUGUGUCAUAAUGUUCUAUGAUGCUGAGGUUGAAGCCUUUGUUGUAUUAAUAGAGCUUGUCAUGUACCACUUACAACAAGUAAUUAUUAAUUUUUUUUUUUUUUGAAUUAUAUAGUUCCAUUCUUUCAAUUUCUUUUUUAUUCGCGAAGGUUACCUUUCAACUAUGAGUUGAAAAACUAUUCAGUCUACUGAUAACAAAUUUGAAAGAUGAACUUUUAGUUUUGAACUCUUAUAUUUAGUUGGUAAAAAGGGAAUUUUUAGUUAAUAAACGUUUAUUUAAUUUCAAUGUAAAAUAAGGAAGAAGAGAAAAAUAGAAAAGAAAGGAAAACAUAAACAUAUAAUUUUAUAUGAAAAUGAACAGAAUUAAACGUAAACGCAAGGAAGAAGAGAGCUAUGGUGACGUGAUGACUAGAAAUUAGUUGUAUCUCUAAAAUUCAUACUGACUUCAAUAAAAAAAAAUCAAAAUUAAGAUAUUUAUCAAUGGAUUAAUUCUUUUUUCGUAAGCACUUUCUAAAAAGAUAAACGAUUGGUCAUGAAAUCUUGUUUUAUUUUGAUGGGCAGAGAUCAAAUCCAUUAUCACAUGGUUAAGGGAUAAAGUAAACAACUACUGCGGAUAAUAAUAGUAAAAUAGAAAAAAUUAUCUUUAACAUACUUAACUUUUUUAACUAACUAGAAAUUUAAUAUUGAUCAAUAAAAAAAUGUAAAACUAUUUAGUUUUACAUGGGUAAGUAUUAUAAUUACCAAUCAAAUACUUGAACUAAAAGCAAACAGAAUAAAUUUCAAGUAUGAAGAUUGGAGGAAUAAUUGAAAAAAAGAAAAGAAAAAGAAAUCAAGCUGGUGGACAUCCAAAGCCACUCCUUCCAAGUUCUUGCAUAUGCCACAGCCUAUAAAUUAUUACAUAACUUCGUUGUCAGGUUUAACAAUAAUUGUUAUUUUAAUGAUUUUACAUUUGAUAUAUCAUCAUAGUCAAUAUUAAUAAGUAUUUUAUUAUUUUAUGCAAUAAUGCAACUAGAUCUUGAGGGAUUAAUAAAUGGAGCCGAUGGCCCCUCUAAGUAGCAAAUAGCUGGCCACUAAUUAUCGUAUUUUGAAGUCUCUUUCUUCAUAAAAUAAAAUAAAUCAAUUAAGCAGUUUAAGCCUUGCUUAAUGCUUGUUAAGAAAAUCCUUUGUUUUAAAUCUUUUUUUGUGUUAUGGUUUGAAAAUCUCAAGGCUAAUGUUGGAGUAUUGGGUGUCAAGCCAUCUCCGUGCUUCCUGCCAGGGUUUAAUAAUAAAAUUGUUUACUUUAAAUAAAAAAACACCGUUUAUGUAGACUGAAACUUGGACAAAAGAUUUCACAAAUUUGGUCUCUCUUCCUUCAAAAUAACUAUUUAAUAAUUACAUUAUUUUGAAUGACCUACGAUUUUGACCGUCAACAGGUUUAACAUUGAGUUAAAGUAUUUUUAUUCGAUUUUAUCUUUGAAUUUUAUUUUUCAAUUUUAAUGAGAGUCCGUGUUAAUAAAAAUGGCACUUCACAAAUUUCUCUCUAAAUGAUCAAAAUUACCUCAACAAACAUGUAUUUUCUUAGAGUUGAGUGACUCAAAUCCUUAUUAAAAUAAAAUACAGUGGUAAAAUAAAAUAAAAGUAAAAUUCAUAUAGAAUUAUACUUCUUUUAUUUUACAUUGAUUAGAAUAAGGUUUUUCAACCUUACUAUACUUUAUCUAAUUGACAUUGAUUAGAAUAAGGUUUUUUCAACCUAUAAAUAGAUGUAGUCUAAACUCCUCUUGUAUCAUUCAAAUUCAACAUUAGUAAAUUUUCUUCUCCCCUACCCGUGGUUUUUUCCUGAAAGGGUUUCCACGUAAAAUCUGUGUGUUUUUAUUUUUUCCUUCUUUUUACUUUGAGAUCAUUCUAUAUUGUCAUUAUCAAUGUUAGUUUUUACAAACUGGUAUCAGAGCUUUUCAGGUUGCUUAUCUUGAUCACGGUAAUAGCGACAUUGAAGUAUGAUAUUCUGCUGUUGGAUCGCAAUACCAGAUUCAUGUUGUGGCAAAUAAAGAUGCAAGCAGUUCUUGCGCAAAUAGAUUUAGAGGAUGCCUUGCUAGGGGUAAAUAAGAUGCCUUCAAUAUUGAAGGAUAAAGAGAAGAAGCGUAAAGAUCGAAAAACUUUAAAGCAAUUACAUCUACAUUUUUCGAAUGAAAUUCUACAAGACAUGAGGAAGGAGAAAACCGCUGCAAAUCGAUUUUAGUUGCACCUUUCAUAUGAGUCCCAAUUAGGAUUGGUUUACAAUAUAUGAAACAAUGUUUGAAGGUGUUGUUUUGAUGGGAAAUAAUGCUUCAUGUAAAAUCACAGGUAUUGGCACGAUCAAAAUUAAAAUGUUCGAUGGAGUCGUCAAAACACUUAGUGGGAUAUGAUAUGUACUGUAAUUGAAGAUGAAUUUGAUUUCAUUGCGUAAUCUUGAUUCAAAAGGGCACAAGUAAAUAACUGAAAGUGGGGUUUUAUAAUUAGCAAGGGUGUAACACCCUAAACCCGGCCUAGACAUUAUGGUCGAAUCUGGCGAUGUCACAUGGAAUGGGAUUUGAAGAUAAGAUUGUCGAGUUAAAAUCGUUACAGUUAGUUAGCUUUUAUUUACUUCAAAAAAAAUAAGUGCUAGUUGAUUUGCUUUAAAACUUGUCCCUUAGCGGAAGCUUUUGUAACCAAUUAAUUUAGGGAAAAUCAUUUAUAUUUACGAAAACCUUAGUUUUUAGACAAAUCGUGUUUUGUUGAGUUGCAGUUUAAAAAUAAUCCAUAAAAACAGUAUAAAGUCCCAAAUUUAAAGCCAACCAAUCCAUAGUCCAAAAUUUAUAUCAAAAACACCAAAUAAGUACUAAAUUCUAGACAUUAACGGAAAAUAGUCUAAAAUUUAUGUGUGGCCACUGUCGAGCCCUUCGCUGCACAGACCUGUCAAGUCUGGGGAAUAUCUGUACAGAUUAGAUAGAAAAAGGUGAGUGUUCAUAAACUCAGUAUGUAAUCCCCACAGAAAACAUGCAUACAGAUAUUCAACAGCAUUCUAUUAGAUACAGUCUGGGGCCUGGGCCCAUCAUAGAAUUAGUUUGGACCUUAGCUCGUUCAAAUACAGUCUCAGAAAUACAUUAGGGCCUUGACCCAUAUUAGAUACAAAAUGCAGAUACAGUAAAUUAGAAUCCUACCCACCAACCUCUACACAUCAUCUCCGUCCAACCCUACACACCAUAUGGGGAUUAAAUCAACUCACCCAUCCCUACACACCAUGCUGUACCGAAAUGCGGCACAUAAUCAGAAAGUUGCAACUGAGCUGCCAGAUAACAGGCUUAAUAGCCUUUCAGACACUUCCUCCAAAUAUCAUCAACCCACCCCGAUGCAAUGCAUCAUGCAAAAUAUGCCAUGCCAUUAUGCAAUUAAUAGUACAUAUAUUCAGAUAUCAUAAGUCAUGCUCGGUAUAGAAAUCAAACAGACAGAUCACACAUAUAGGGGUCUAAGUAAAGCUUACUGACCCUACAGUAGGUCCACAGUCGACUUGGACGACCCGUGUAACCUUACAGAACUUUUCAGAAAAAUGGGCUCACACGCCCAUGUGGCCUGCCCGUGUGGCCCAUUCGGCCAAAUUACCCUUGGUCGCAUGGUCCAUUUUUAAUGUAACAUGUGCUAGCUAAAUAUUCAUAUAUAUUUUCACUAUUUACUUAUACGUUCCUUCAAAGCUGUCUACUUGAGUCACUGUUACUAAAUUAUUUAUAUCUUGAGCCACAGAAUUCCAAAUUAAGAUUUGCUCAAUGUCUUUAAAACUAGACUCAAAUACCUUUCUACCAUAAAAUUUUCAAAAUUUUUGGUUCAUCCAAUAAGUAUAGUAAAAUCUUCAAACUUACCCUUGUUUUGUUGUCUGACAGCUUCAACCUUUCUUUACUAAAAAUUAAUUAUCUCUCAGUAAAAAAUUUGGAUGAUAUUUCCAUUUGUUUCUAUUGAAAAUAGACUUAUUAAUAAUUUAAACAUGUAAAUUUUAACCCCUAAUUAUUUUUCUCCAAUUUUUGAUGAUUUUCCAAAGUCAGAACAGGGGAACCUGAAUUCAUUUUGACCUUGUCUCACAAAAUUUAUUAUAUCUCACGAUUUACAAUUCUAUUACUUACAUCGUUUCUUCUAUGAGAAACUAGACUCAAUAAGAUUUAAUUUCAUAUUUGUUCAUUCUCUAAUUCGAUUUCCACAAUUUAUGGUGAAUUUUCAAAUUUAGCCUGCUGCUGCUGUCCAAACAGUAAGCAAUUUUGACUUUUUGUCGAACCCCAUUUUCUGUGUUUCGGGUACAUACCUAGUUUUGUUUGAUGCUAAAACAGUCCUUGAGCACUCCAAAGCCUAUAAUUGAACAAAUAACACUAAUUUAAUCUCCUAUAACGUGAUCCCAAAUCGAACUCGUAUCGAGGUUUUAACCCAUAAGCGACUAAACCUUACCUUAAACUGAUAAACAAUAAUUCCCAUACAAACUAAGACUCUGAUUGGUGAUUAUCCCUUGAACCCUCCCCUAAUUGGCAUAAAUAAAACACUUCAGAAGAAAGUUAACAAAUGGAGACAAAUCACUUAUCUAAAACUUACCGAACGAUCGUAGACAAACGUGGAGCGACACGAGGCAGAGUGGGAAAAGAAAAAUCAAGAAGAUGAAGGGUAACAAAGAACAGAAAUUCGACAGCAAUGAAGAGAAAAACGACAAGAGGGUGGAGGGAUAAUGGGAAAAGUAAAAAACAAAAAACAAAAAAAAGACAAAUAGAAUAUUUGAUAACCACCCUAAUCCCUUAUUUCUCUCCUUCAAACUCCCCACUAAAUCCACUACUCAGAUUUUUAGUCCAUCUCAAACUCUCCUGGACGCACGAGCAAAAAUAAUGCCCAUACCAAGAUUCGAACACAGGACCUCCUUCACACCAACAUUCCACUUAUUCACCAAACCAGCAGGCCCAUUCUGUUAAUUAUUUGCCAACUUUUACUUAAAAACCUACUGACCAAAGAUAGAGCUUAUUCAUACAAAUACCAAAAUUUGCUCAAGUCCUAGCUUGAACUUGGGACUUCCCAAACACACCCAGAACACAUAACCACUAAAGCAGAUAGAUAUUUUGAGUCACACAUUCACAAUACCCAAAAUUAAAAUUUUGGGGUGUUACAAAAGGUUCGUUCAUUGUGAUGAAAGGGCAGAUAAAGACUAUCAAGUUAUAUGUUUUGCAAGGUUCUAUUGUUACUAGUGAUGCAAUCGUCGCUUCCUCCUCCUUGUCAGAUGAUGAUGUUACUAGACUUUGACAUAUGCAUCUAGGGCAUAUAAGUGAAAAUGACAUCGCAGAAUUGAGCAAAAGAUGACUUCUUGAUGAACAAAGCAUUAGCAAACUGAAGUUUUGUGAGCAUUACAUUUUUGGGAAGCAAAAGAGAGUUCGAUUCACCAAAUGAAUCCAUAACACGAAGGGAGCACUGGAUUAUAUUCAUUUUGAUCUUUGGGGACCAUCGAGGGGUGGCGUUAAUUAUAUGUUAAUGACCAUUGAUGGUUUUUCCAGAAAAGUUUUUGCAUCCUUCCUGAAGCAGAAAAGUGACGUGUUUUCUGCGUUUAAGGCUUGAAAAACUAUGCUCGAGAAGCAAAAAGGAAAACAGAUAAAACACCUUCGCACAGAUAAUGGCUUGGAAUUCUACUCUGAUGAGUUUAAUAAAUUGUGCAUAUCAGAAUGAAUCAUGAGACACUUGAUAGUUUGUCAUACUCUAUAACAAAAUGGCAUUACAAAACGGAUGAAUAGAACAAUCAUGAAAAAUGUAACGCCUCAAAUUUUUGAACUGUUUUUUGUUAAUUUCUGUUAAUAAUUAACUAUCUACUUCAGUGGCUAAGUGUUUUGUUUGUGUGUUUGAAAUCAGGGGUUCAACUAUCGCUUUUAGAUACUUUUGUUAUUCUUUUGAUUCAACAUUUACUCUGGACUUUUGACUUAAGUUAAAUUAUGUGUAAAUUUGUAUCAAGAAUAAGCCUGUUGGUUCAAUCAUUAAGCUCUUGUAUACCUUUGGUCUUAUGCUUGAGUCUCUACGAAAGCAAUAAGAAAAUAUUUUAUACUAAUUCGUAAAAUUUGAUUUUUUUUAAUUUAUGAAAUCAUUUUUCGAUUUUCCCUUUUCAUAUGUUUUUACGUUUUUGUUUUCUUUUUCUUUUUUCUUUUUCCCUUUUUCCUUUCUUCUUAUUGUUUUCUUUUCUCCUUUAUUUUGUUUUCGUUCCCUUUUAUUUUUUUCAUUAAUCUUGCUACUAUUUUAUCGAAGGAAUUGUGUAGUUGUUGUAUUCGACUGUUAAGUUAUCAGCGUAAGUUGGUUGUUAAAGUUCUGUUAACAUUGCUUGUUUGUUAAUUGUCAAAUCGAAUUUUUCUGUUCGUUUUGUUUAAUUGCUCUUUUUUAAAUGUUUAAUUUGUUCUUGUUCUUAGGUGAAGAGACUGCUUGUCAAGAUCCUCCACCAGUUUAGGUGCUUGGGUUGAUGUUUUUCAAACAAGGGUAUGCGAUAAGUUGUAUUUAGGGUUUUUGGGUCGAAAGUUUGACAAAACUUUGAUCGUGAAUGCAUUUGUUGUUGAAUUAGUUUGGAAAUCAUUUGAUUGAGCAACUGGCUUUUUUUUUUUAGGUUCCGGUACUAUCUGCGCUGCUUCCUUAUUGAAACCAUAUCAAGUGUAUAAUAAAAACCCAAAUUUUAGCGAUUUUUGAACAUCGAAAAACAUGGUUGUCCACGCCACACGACCGUAUGCCAUGUAACUCACUGUUUAGAAUUUAUAGUCACACGGGCUAAAGACACGGACAUGUGUCCAGGCCAUGUAAUUCAUUGUUUUGAAUUUAGGGUCAAACGGGCCAGAGACACGGGCUUGUGUCCAAGCCGUGUAACUCACUGUUUUGGGAAUUUGAGUCAUACUGCCGUGUGCUAGGCCGUGUGACAGGUUGUAUGUGUUAAUGAGCUAGGCUACAUGGAUAUGUGCUAGGCCAUGUAGACCACAUGGGCCAGCCAUCUUGGUCGUGUGAAUCUACACGAGUGUGUGUGUAAAAAAUUAAAAAUUUUCCCUAGGGCCGUAAUUGUCAUUCGAAUCGAACAUAGGCCUUCCGUAGGGUUAGUAAGCUCUGAAUUAGGCUAUAAAACUUAUUAUCUGAUGAUUUUUUAGUGGAAAUUUAUUUAUAUGAACAUAUAUCUACUGGGUUAAUUGAUGAGCAAGCAUGUUUUAUAUUGUCUGGAUCUGUACCACUGUAUACGCAUGUUUGAUAUCUAUUAAUCAUGCAUCCGCAUUGGGAUAAGAUAUGUGAUAAAGAAGGAAGUGUGGACAAUUUAAUUAUCUGUUGAUUCUGGUGGUUAAGCCACAUAUACAUUUCUGAUUCUAGCAAGUUAUUACAUUCGAUCUGGCAGCUAGUCUGUAAUGUUCUGAAUGUAACUUACAGUCACUAUCAGGUGUGUAGGGAUGGAUGGGUAUUUGAUGCCCUAUUUAGUGUGCAAGGGUGGUUAAAGAUGGUGUGUAAUGGAUAAGGUAGGACUCUACAUUUGUAUCUGAAUUUGUAAUUGUAUCUGAUAUGUUUUGUAUCUAAAUCUGUAAGUGUAUCUGGUAUGUUCUGUAUCCAUUUCUAAUUAUGAUAUUCGACUAAAUAAUAUCUCAAAGUAAGAUCGAGACUGUUUGUACUUAAUUAGUUUAUAAGUUCUACAUUUAAUAUAUAAACUCACUUCAACUAUUGUUUAAAUUUCAGGUAAUCCUCAGAGUUGAUCGUCGGUGUGUCGGAAGCUUGGUCAUAUUGUUUAAUUAACUUGUUAUGUUAUUUGGUUUUACGUUGUUACUAUCUUAUUGGGUUUGUAGAUUUUAAAUGCUGGAUUUUGUAUUUUGAUUAUAAACUUGUAAAUGUCUUAAGUUGAUUGAAGUCUAAUUAUUAAAGGUUGGAUUUUUUUUGAAAGAGUUGAUGUAGCUCUCCAUACUUGGUCAUAUCGUCUAAGUCAAUUUUGAGGUGUUACAUUUAGUAGUAUCAGAGCUAGGUUUACCAAAAAUCGGGCUGUGUUUUCUGGGCACCCGUUUUUAUGAAAACUAUGGUUUUGAAUAAAAUGUUUAUCUGAUUAAAUCUGAAAACUUAUUUUAUAAAAGACUGACUUUCUAGCGCCGAACCUGUAAGUACUUCUGCUUUAGCUAUAAUAAUUAGCUAAAAAAUAUUGUAGUAACUGGAAUUGUUGGCUUUGGUUAAAGAUUGUGAUAUAAACUGUGAAAUAAGAUAUUUGAUAAGAAUUUUGAACUGAUCUGUACACUUCUUACAUUGUAGAUAAGUUGAUAUAAUGAGUUUGCAAGGUAGCCGUAGAUAUGGUUCUCGUGGGCGUUGAGGACAAGCUCAAGUAGAGUCAUCCUCUAUGGUCAGUAUGCCCAAUCUAGAGAUCGAUGAGACUUUUGGUACUCCUACUACUGAGACUGGGUUUCAAACUUCGACAGCUAGGGAUGACGUAUUGUUCUAGACUAUGCUUCGUAUAUUAGAGAGGGUCGCUGGGAUCCAUUCUGGAUCUAAGAGCCGAGGGUCGGUCACUGAACGACUUCGAUCAAACGGUGUUAAGUUGUUUAGGGGUGUCACUAGAGUCGUCCUACAGUGGCCGAGUACUGGUUAGAGACCAUCGAGCGUAUUAUGAAUGGCAUUAACUGCACUCCUGUAUAGAAACCAAGGCAUGCCAUAUCUCUACUCCAAGAUAAGGCUUACCAGUGGUGGUUGACUGUUGAGUAGGGCGCCUAGUUCGAAAAAAUUACUUGGGAUUUCUUCAAGAAUGCCCUUCAGAGUAAGUAUAUGGGGACGAGUUAUAUGGAGACUCGUAGACGUGAGUUUAUAAGCUUAGUUUAGGGUGAGAGGUUUGUGGCCGAGUACGAGGCUAAGUUUCUGAGAUUGAGUAGGUACGCUUGCGGUUUGGUUCUGAACGACUAUGAGAGGAGUAUUUGGUUUGAAGAGGGACUAAUAUAUAAUUUGAGAGUUCUGAUAGCUCUUCAGAGGGAGCGGGUUUUUGCAGCCUUGGUUUACAAUGUGAAGAUAGUUGAGGAGAUGAAGCGCAUGAGAAUGAGAGGAGAGACCAACAGAGAGGUCAGAGUAAGCUCAAGAGGGAUUCGGGUCCUUUUAGCUCUGUGCAAUGGCCUAAGAAAUGAGUUAGAUUUGAUGGGCCUUUGAGGACUAAGACAUCAGCUGCAACGGCUGAGAUUCAGACCUAUAGUGAUUGUGGGAAUUGCUAUCCGGGUGAGUGUUGGAGGAAAUUGGGGGCUUGUCUUCGGUGCGAGUCGAUGGAGCAUUAUGUUCAGGACUGUUCCUUACAAUCUAAUCAAGAGUAAGCUUUUGUAUAGGCUCCAACUCUAGGUGUCAUUUAGCCGCUGAGAGUAGCCCAGUAGCCACCUAGGGGUCAUGGUAUAGUUAGGGGUGAUAAUGGCUCUGAUCAAGGUUAGAGAGUACCGAGCAGAUGUGUAGGUCAGAUUGAGGUAUGAUAGCCUGCCCUUGAGUAUACGACGAGGCAUCGUGAGGACAGAAACGACGCCAACUUUAUAGCCGGUACAUUCUUUAUUCACUAUGUUCAGUAUUUUGCUCUGAUAGAUAUUGGAUCCACUCACUCAUAUGUAGCUAGUACUGUUUCUGGGUAUAUUUGCUGAUAGUACUACUAGAGAUACUUAUGUAAUUAGUCCCUUGGGUUAGAUGGUCAUAGUUAAUAAAGUGUAUAGACGAGUUUUGUUAGAGAUUCAAAGUGUUGUGUUUCUGGCUAACCUGAUGAAAUUGUUGUUUGGAGAGUUUGAUCUGAUUCUAGGAAUGGAUUGGCUGGUGGAACAUUGAGUCAAUUUAGAUUGUGCCUCAAAAAGGGUAACUCUGAGAUUGGAUGAGGAUACCAAGAUCGUUAUAGUAAGUAAGUGUUGAAAUUACCUCUCUAAUGUAAUCUCUGCCUUUAUAGCUGAAAAGCUAGUUGGGAAAGGUUGUAAAGCAUACUUGGCCCUUGUUCUAAUUCUGUAAAACUUUCUAUUAAAGGCAUUUGUACUGUAAGAUACUUUUCAGAUGUUUUCCCUGAAGAGUUGUCGAGGAUACCUCCGGUCAGGGAAGUUGAGUUUGAUAUUGAAUUGCUACCCGGUAUUCGUGUCUAUUGCUCCUUACCACAUGGCACUAAAGGAGCUUAUGGAACUAAAGGUCCAGCUUUAGGAACUUCUCGAUCGAGGGUUCAUUAAGCCGAGUGUGUCUCUGUGGGAGCAUCGGUUUUAUUUGUGAAGAAAAAUGGUAGCACGAUAAAGAUGUGUGUGGAUUAUCGUCAGCUGCAUAAAUUGACGGUAAAAAACAUGUAUCCAUUUUCGAAGAUUGACGACAUGUUUAAUAAAUUUUGAAGAGCAUCUGUAUUCUACAAAAUCGAUCUUUAUUCUAGAUACCAUCAGCUCAAGGUUAAGGAGACCGAUGUGUACAAGACUGCUUUUAGAACUCGUUGAUUGAACUCUAAUUAUUAAAGGUUGGAUUUUUUUUGAAAGAGUUGAUGCAGCUUUCCAUACUUGGUCAUAUCGUCCAGGAAGGGUUUUGGGUGUUACAGAAAAGGUUCAAUGUAUGUUGUCGAAUGUUUGUUUACUGAAGUCGCUUUGGACUAAAGUGGCCUCUACUACAUGAUUUUUGACUAACUAGUCUCCAUUUGUUGUCAUUAAGAAAAAGACUCCACAAGAGGUAUGGUUUGGUAACCCUGCUGAUUAUUCUGAUUUUAAAAUUUUUGAGUGUCCCACGUAUACUCAUAUUGAUAAUGGGAAAUUGGAACCUAGAUUCAUUAAAUGUUUUUUUCUCUUAAUUAUAAUACUGGUGUUAAAGGGUAUAAGUUAUGGUGUCCUGAAAAUAGAAAAGUUGUGAUUAGUAGAGAUGUUAUUUUUUAUGAAACUGCUAUGCUACCUAACUUAUCUCUUAAAGACUCUUCCAAUAAAGACCAUAAAAAGUAGGUGGAGCUUCAGAUUGAUUUAGGAUCUAAAACAGUGUCUACUCCUCAAGUUAGUAUAGAAACUCAAAGUAGAGUUGUUUCUUCACCAUAAUAUUUUAUUGUCAAGAAUAGGCCUAGAAGAGAAAUUAAACCUCCAAAGAGGUACGUCGAAAUUGAUCUAGUUGCUUAUGCUUUAAAUGUGGCUGAAGAUAUAGAUGCAAAUCAAGAGCUAUCUACUUAUUCCAAGGCAGUUGGUUGUGAAGAUUCAGAGAAGUAGAUGAUUGUCAAACAAGAAGAGAUGGAAUCACUCCAUAAGAACAGACCAUGGGAUCUAGUUAAGCUUCCUAAAGGUAAAAAAGUUGUUCAAUGUAAAUGGGUGUUCAAAAAGAAAGAAAGAACUCCAGGAGUUGAAAACCUCAAAUUUAAAGCAAGGUUGGUUGCAAAAGGUUACAGUUAGAUUCCAGGUGUAGACUUCACAGAUGUGUUUUCUUUAGUUGUGAAACAUAGUUCGAUUCAAGCCUUACUUGGUAUUGUGUCCAUGUAUGAUUUAGAGCUUAAGCAGUUAGAUAUAAAAACAUCGUUCUUGUAUGGAGAACUUGAGGAAUAUAUUUACAUGCAACAACGAAAGGGUUUUACAGUCUCAGACAAGGAGGACUAUGUUUGCUUGUUGAAAAAGUUCUUUUAUGGGUUGAAACAAUCACCAAUGUAGUAGUACAAAAGGUUUGAUUCUUUUAUGACUACUCAUGAUUUCAAAAGAAGCAACUUUGACAGUUGUGUUUAUUUAAAAAAAAACAGUGAUGGUUUUUUUGUUUAUCUACUCCUCUAUAUUGAUAACAUUAGGAUAGCAGUCAAAAAUAAAUGAGAGAUAAGAAAUGUCAAAGCCUAGCUUAGUAAAUAAUUUGAAAUGAAUGGUUUAGGAGUAGCGAAGAAGAUACUUGGGAUAGAGAUUCUCAGAGAUAGAAAAUCAUGUAAAUUGUACCUAAGUCAGAAAGGGUACAUUGAGAAAGUUCUUUGUGGAUUCAAUAUGCAAAAUGCCAAGCCUAUUAAUACUACAUUAGCAACCCACUUUAGACUUUCAUCAGCUUUGUCUCCGUAAUCAGAUGAUGAGAUUGACUUCAUGUUACAUAUUCUAUAUUCUAGUGCAGUGGGGUCUCUCAUGUAUACUAUGGUUUGCUCACGUCCAGAUUUGUCAUAUACAGUUAAUGCAGUUAGUAGAUACAUGGCAAAUCCCGAUAAAGAACAUUGGAAAACAAUUCAGUGGAUUUUCAUAUACUUACGAAGUAUUAAUGAUGUUUGCAUAUAGUUUGGAAGAACUAGAGAUGAAGUCAUUGAGUAUGUUGAUUCUGAUUUUGCUAGAGACCUUGAUAAAAGAAGAUCUCUCACAGGGUAUGUCUUUACUAUUGGGGGUUGCACAAUCAGUUGGAAAGUCACUUUACAAACUACAAUUGCUUUGUCUACUACUGAAGCUGAGUACAUGAUGAUUACUAAGACUUGUAAAGAAGUUAUUUGGUUAAAGGGACUCUUUGGUGAACUCAGUAAAGACCUUCAGAUCAGUAUAGUGUUUUGUGACAGUUAGAGUACCAUAUUCCUUACGGAGGAUCAAAUGUUUCCUGAGAGAAUCAAGCACAGUGAUGUUAGGUAUCAUUUUGUGCGUGAUAUUAUUGCUCGUGGUAAUAUUGUUGUGAGCAAAAUUAGUAGUCAUGAAAAUCCUGCAGAUAUGAUGACUAAGUCACUUUCUAUAACCAAGUUUAAGCAUUGCUUAGACUUGCUUGGUGUUCGUUGUUGAAGAACACCCCUUAAGGUGUUUCGUGGAAGAGGUGGAGAACUUGUUCGUUGAGAAUUCGUGUAAAUGUGGAGAUUGUUAGAGUUGAGUGACUCGAAUCCUUGUUAAAAUAAAAUAUAAUGGUAAAAUAAAAUAAAAGUAAAGUUCAUAUAGAAUUAUACUUCUUUUAUUUUACAUUGAUUAGAAUAAGGUUUUUCAACUUUACUACACUUCAUCUAUUUGACAUUGAUUAGAAAAUGUUUUUUCAACCUAUAAAUAGAUGUAGUCUAAACUCUUCUUGUAUCAUUUGAAUUUGACAUUAGUGAAUUUUCUUCUCCUUUACCCGUGAUUUUUUCCCGAAAUGAUUUUCAUAUAAAAUUUGUGUUCUUAUUUUUUCUUUCUUUUUACUUUGCGAUCGUUUUAUAUUGUUAUUAUCGAUGUUAGUUUCUACAUAUACCAUAUGAGGUAAUAUUAAAUUGUAGUUAAAAAAUAAAAGUUAAACGUUAAGGUGAAUGAUGUGAUAUUUGUUAAAAAUAAAAGAGAUUUAUGAGUGAAUUAAAUUAAACAAAAAUAUAUAUUUACAUGUAAAAAAAAAGUUUUGAUAUUUUUGUUAUAAAAGUUUUUAAAAAUUUCAUAACCGAAUUUAUAAAGCUGUUACGUGCUUUUUAUUUAUUAGUUAUUAUAUUUUUAUUGUUUAAUACUAUUCGUGAAAUUUUUUAAUUUUACAGGCUGGUAAUAGAUAGAAUAAUAAACUUUAUAAAAUUUAAUCUUAAAAUAUAUAAAAUUAAAUUUAACCUAACACCUUCUUUUUACAAAAUUCAAGAACAUGUAAUACGUUAAGCUAAAACUGGUGGAUUUUGUCUCGAAACUCACACACAAAAUGGAAACACUGAUGGGCUAAUUAUUUUUCCAGGCUAAAGAUGGGCUAAUUUCAUUAAAUGAAAAUAAUGGGCCAAGCUCUAAUGUUAAUUCUUUUGCCCAUAGAUUCACCCUAUUGAACUAGCCAUACCAAGGAACCACAUGUAUUUGUCUUCUCCUGCAUAUAUGAUUAGGGAUGCUGGUCUACAUAAUCAUGACGGAUGUAUAUAACAACAAAAUUAAUGGUGUGGCACCUUGCAUUCAACUUAUCUAAAUAUGAGAUGUUAUAUUUAUUGUCGGAGCAAUUCAAAUUAUUAUCAUCUAUUUUCUUAAAGUUAAAUAAAUGAGCUUGACAUAAUUCAUAAAUAUUAUCUUGUACACAUGAAUGAGGUUAAACGAACCUACAUUGACUCACAAUCAUACGAGAUCGAGUAUGGAGUCAAGAUACGAAUCCUAAUUUAACUUUAUCAAAAUAGAGGGUUGUGUCUCGAGACAUGUUUUUCUUGUUUCAGACCUCUAGCUUUGAAGUAUGAUUUCUCGAGACAAUGUAGUUAAUGUCUCAAGACAAUGACCUUUAUGUUUUGAGACUUAUCUCUUCUGUUUUACACUCUUAAUUUUAAUGUUGUCUAUCUCGUGAUAAAGUACUAUAUAUGUUUUGAGAUUUGAUAAUAUGUGUCUCGAGACAUGUUUAUUAUAUAUUGAGACUACUGUCAUACAUGAAAUAAUGGAAAUUAUUAAGAAUAAAUAAAUAUAUGAAUGAAAUAAAGAGUGAAAUAAACAUUAGUGUUUAAAUUUUGAGUAACAUUGAUUUAAAAUUCCAUCUCAAACUCUAACCAUAUAUUCUUUUUAUUAUAAAAGAUUUGCAAUAGAUUGAGAAGAUUUAAUUAAGCUUACAAAUGAAAAAAAAAUAUUAAUAUUAUGAUUAUGAAAUUAAUACGAAAAAAAAAGUAAAAAAUAAGCAUGGUAAACUUUCUGCUGCUGGCAUCGUCACCGUAUUCAUUUGCAAUGAUAACCCUGAUAAAUAUUUUCCGACAUAAAUUAUAAAUAUUUGAGGUAUUAAAUUUAAUUUAAUCAUCGUAUUAAUAGGUUUAAUUAGAUGUUAUUUAAAUCAGAUUAAAAUUCAAUAUUUAAAGUAUUGUAUUCAAUGGUGAAGUUAGGAUUGGUAAGGGCAUUACUUUAAAAUGGAAUUUUUUUUAUUUAAUUCUCUUUAUAAUUUAUAAAAUUUUAAAUUAAUAAUGAUAAAAUUACACUUUGACCUUAAAAAUAAUAAAAAUUUAAUUUAAUCUCUUAAAAAUUAUAAAUAUAUACCAUUUAAUUUUUACCCAAAAAAAUUUCUCACCCUGACUGCAUCCCUAAUCAUAUAUGCAUAAGAACACAAGUACAUGUUCCUCGGUAAUGCUAGUUCAAUAGGGUAUUGUUGCAUUAGAUUUUGUGAAUCAAUGGUAGCCAGGCCCAUUAUUUUCUUUUAAUGAAAUUAGCUUGCGCCAUCUUUGGGCUUGAAAAAUCAUUAGCCCGUCAGAGUUUCCGGUUGUUUGUGUGUUUUGGAGACAAAAUCCAGCAGCUCUAGCUGAAUGUAUUACAUCUGUUCUUACCGAAUGACUUUCAGUUUGUCAUAAUGUAUCUUUAAUCAUAACAAUCAUAUGAAUCUUUGUUUUGCCUGUUCAUGGCAGUUUAUCUGGAUUUAGAAGUUCAGAUGGUAAUGGAAUUCCAGGGAUAUGUUUCCAUAUCAAGGAAUGUCAAAAACUCAAAAUUGAUGGGAAAAGAAAAGAGCUGCAAAACCCAGAUAAUUUGCAUGCAAUUCCAACUUGUGCAUCGAUGGACAUGCUUAUCCACAAAAGGCCAAGGCGAUGAGGCAUGAAAACUUCUAAAGUUGCUGCAUGUUUGAGAUUGUAAAUUUGUUGGUAAUCCCAUGAAGUCUUCAUGGAUUCUGAUUCUAGUACACCUCAUACUAACCAUGAGUCUAUUGGUUCUACCAAGUUUAAUUCUAUAACAGUGACUGUAACAAAGAAAACCGCAAUACUUGUUGAUGAGAGCAAUUAUUUGUUGGAAAAAUUCAGUUAAGAAAAUGGUUUGCAGUUAUAGCUGAAAUUUGAAAAGUUUAAAAAUUGAAUUGAUUUGUGAUCAAUACAACUUUUACUAAAAAGUAAAUGUGCUUUGUGCGAAUUCAUCCUCGUUUUCAACCAAACGACCUUCUCUACUAUCCUCAUUCUAUGAAUUACUUCAAGCGUGGGUUUGAGCAACACGAACUAAACAUAGAAUAAGGUAAUGAUAUUAUUACUUUUAGUAGGAAAAUGGAAAUCGGUAAAGAUUGUAAUUCUCAAAAAAUAGAAUUUAUUCUAAGUAAAUAAAUUACAACCAUUUUUUGGCAGAAUAAUAUUAUCUCUAUAACCAAAAAGUGUAUCUAUUGGGUCAACCGGUAUCAUCUAUUUAUCGGAAGAGAUAGAAGAAUAUUAGUUGAAUAAGGUUUAAACAAAUAAUAUUAUUUAAAUAAAAAACACACUCCAACUCCAACUGGAGCAGUAGUGGGUGGCACACCCUAAUAACAACUACUAGGGUUGCCACCCCUCUCAUGUACUGUGAGGGGAUUUGAGCUUCUCAUGUAUUGAGUCCAAUUAUGUGUGCUUCCUAGACUUUUGACCAAACAUUUUAUAAUUUAAUCUAACACAAUAUUCAUUUUAAAUUUCUCAAAAUAAAUGUUAAUUAAUUAAUUAAUAAAAUUAACUAAAUUAAUUUUCCAAUUAAAUAAUUUUCUUAACCUAAUUCUAAUUUCGUUAAAGUCAUAACAACUUUACCAUAAAAGAGACUAUUAAGAAAUCUAUUUAAUUUUCUUAUUCAAUGGAUUAAUGAUAACUAAUUAAUUUAAUUCUUCUUUCGAACUUCAAUAUUUAAUUAAAUAAAUAAUAAUUCAAAAAUUUUAAAUUAAUUCUCAAGUCAUUUCUAUACUUAGUGAAAAAACACUUUCAUUUGUGAAUGCGACUCAUUUCUCUAACUUCAUCAUUCCACUUCAUUUCUGUUUAUUUGGUUCUAUAUGCAAUUCAUUUCUAGUUUCAACGAGCUAGCAGAGGAACCAAUUGAACAUAUAUAAUUAAGGGUCAAAUAAUUCAUAACAAAGUUCCAUUUUUCGUCUAUUAAUUAUAAAUUUAUUUAGUCACGAAGUCAUUCCACUAUAGUAUCAUGACUGAGCUCUCCCUAAUUACACACCAUUACCAAAGCUACUUAAUAAGUGUCCGUCCAAUGACCUUGUUAUAAGUGUAUUACCCUCAUAGGGUUUCCUUAAUCUCUUUGGAAUAAAUUCGUUCUCUCAAUAUGAUCUUAUUUUAUUUCAUGGUAACCAUUACAUCUUCCUUUAUGAAAAAUCAAUUACUAUCAAACAGUAAUCAAGUCAUUUAUUACAAAGACAAAUGACUCGUGACCAAAUUUACUUUUCAUUUCAUUUAUCAUGUAAUUCCACUAAUGUAAAUGAUGCUACAUACUGUAGAAGUUCUAUACCCAACGCAUCAACUUUCGAUUCCUUAUCUAUUUGAAUUUAGGCUUUUACUUACAUCAAAGUAUAUGAGUCACACAUACAUAGUCCAUCAUACACUUAAGAUUAAGGUACGCCACACUAUGAACGUUACAAGUGAAUAAAUCCCUAAAUGAAUUUAGGAUCUAUUCAACUUGGGUCCUUGGUUAAGCUUUUUAACACCAUUUCAAUUUGUGUGUUCUGGUCCAAAUUGAAUUCAUUAUCUAUAGCCUCGACAAAGUAACUCAUAAACGUAAUCAUGUGGUAUUUGACCUGAGUACCGAGUUUUUGUUGGACAUUCAUCAAAGUAGUUAUAGUUGACAGUGAGCCAAGACAAUUUAGCCUCCAAACAUGUCCUCUAGUUUGACCAAUAUUGCUUUGGCAAAAUCACAACUCUCUAGUUGCUUAUAAAGAGUACUAGUCAUGCUUGCUAGCAUAUAGUAUUGAGUUAUCUUAUUAAAUUCUUUCUAGUGAUUUCUAACCUCAGCUUGGUUAGCCGGAGGACAUUUAUUAUCAAGAACUAGGGGUGUAAAUGAACAGAAUAUUCAAUGAACUGUUCGUGAACCGUUCAUAUAAUGUUUGUUUAUGUUCGUUUAUUAAGCUAAAUAAACGAGUAUGAAUACAAUUUUUAUGUUCGUUUAAUAAACGAAUGAACACGAACAGAGGUGUAUUCGGUUUGUUUAUGUUCACAAACAAACUAGUUUAUUGACUCGUUUAUUUAUUAAUGAUAUUUUCUUAUAAAAAUUUCAUUAGUAUAUAUUAAUAAAAUUAUCUUGGUUUGUAUUAUUUUUCAUUUAUAAUAUAAUUAUUAAUAUUUAUAUUUGACUAUUUUAUAUCUAAACAAUGUAUGUAUGUAUGUAUGUAUGUAUGUAUGUAUGUAUGUAUGUAUGUAUGUAUGUAUGUAUGUAUGUAUGUAUGUAUGUAUGUAUGUAUGUAUUUGUUUGUUUGUUUAUUAUUUAUUAACAUUGUUCGUGAACAUGUUUGUUUAAUGUUCGUGAACAUGUUCAAUUAAGUUAAAUGAACAUGUUCGUAAACAUUAAACAAAUGAACAUGAACAAAUGAACAUGAACACACAUAAUUUUAAAUAAACGAACAUGAACAAAAAUUUAAUAUUCUUAACGAACAUAAACUGAACAUGAAUAAACUUAAAAAUAAACAACCGAAUAUGAAUAGAAGUUUGUUCAUUCAAGCUUGGUUCAUUUAUAACCCUAUCAAGAACCGUCUUGAGUUUCUCACAGCUUAAGACAAUCAUGAGAUUCAUUUUCCAUUCAUUAUAGUUAUGUUCGUUCCAUUUGUUAAUAAUGUAAAAAUUCAAAAUUAUUUUAAUCUAUCAGAACCUACUCAGCUUGAUCCGAGCCUAAAUCUAAAAAAGUUUAAUCCCAAAAAAAUCUAAAUCCGAAGAAAGCCCAAUCCGAGCCCACCCAAGCCCUCCCAUUUGCCCCUACUUGAAAUCUAUUUAAGAUUGGAGGGACCCCAUGGCUUAACUUUUGUAGUCCAACCAACAUAAACGUUAUCAUGCUGGCUAACCAUGAGCAUUGGUAACCAUAGCCAAUGGUUACUACAGUGGCACAUACUCCGGAAACACACUUGCAAAUCUACAAAGACCUAGAAACUGUAUAAAUGAGCAAUCAUUCAACUUCUUUUUUAGAUUCCUUGGUACUCGAUUCUCGGAGACAGACGAUCACAUGUGAAAUAGAACAGCUGCUGUUUGGCUAGGAGGUCUCAGAAAAUUUACCAAUUAUAUAGCAUAAGAUCCUUAUCAAAGGGUAAAACGUACAAGGGACCAUUAUCCUACAUUGAUAAGUGGCUAGUUGCGUGAUCCAUCCAUGUGAUAAAUUCUCAAUUUAUGGACAUGAAUAUGUGACAAUCAUGUCCCCCUCAGUACCAAAAUCUCGAGAGCCCACCACAUGUCAGGCAUUGAGAGAAGGGUGAGUGGCAGGGGGACCAUACUCAAACAUUGGUCCUUUUUUAUGAUGCAUUGAAUAAUCCAAUCAAAUUAUUAAUGUCAAUUUUCAAUCCAAAGUGACUCUUGGCCAUGUAUCAAACCACAUGAUAAGAGCAAUAAAAGAUAACACGGUUACGAAAAUUCAUAUUAUCAUAUCUAUUUCCACAAAAGAGGUGCUUGGUUCAAGAGUGAGCUACAAACAUGAGCGCCAUCGGAAAAUAAAUGAGAAAAAAAGAAGCAUAAUAUACCAAAGCAUAAACCAUCAUACAACCGUUACAAUCUGUGACUACAGUAACCACAGCUUUUAUGAAUACGACAGAGAAAGGGAAAAUGGUCCUAAAGUUCUAAGAACCAAAGCUUUGUUCCACUUUUCUCUCCUCAACUUCUUCACUUGUAUUCCAAAAUCAUGUUGUUUUCAGGAGCCAAGCCAAUGCUGGCCCUUAGUAUGUUCUCCAGCAUUGCACGCUGCUUGGACAGUGCGUUCACCACCGGUGUGCCUGGUGGAACCUGUUUUUUGCCAAAACAAUGUCAGCUCUCAGUAAAUUUCUUCACAGAUUUCUGGUUCAAGUGAUUGUCAUGAUUCUAUUCACAUUCUUGAACUGAAAUUUGACAUAAAGUUCACAAACUUUAAUUCAAUACUGUGUCCCCUCUCACCAGUUGCUUCAUGUGAAAUAGAAUGAAGCAGCUUUACAUAAAAUCAUUGAUGGUCACAUGAAAUAUAUCACAAAGAGGCACCAUAAAGUGAAUUUGCGAUUCCUUGUUUCCCACUUAAACUAUAAACAGUUGAGUUACCAUUUAAUUCAAGACAAUAAUAUCAAUGUUUUAUUGGUGAAGGUGUCACCCCUCCCCACCCCCAUUUUAUUAUUAAUUAUUUGCGAUUCCUGGUUUCCCACUUAAACUAUAAACAGUUGAGUUACCAGUUAAUUCAAGACAAUAAUAUCAAUGUUUUAUUGGUGAAGGUGUCACCCCUUCCCACCCCUGUUUUAUUAUUAAUUAUUAUUAUAUUUUUAGUAGGCCAGAGUUACAGGAAAAGACGAAGGGAUGCUUUGGACUCACAAGAGGGGCUUUGGUGAGGUAACUGAGGAUUGUAGCCACAGGAUGGAAAGAGUGGAACUUGCC